rnacentral:tRNA from 1 species
GUCUUCGUGGUGUGGUGGUUAGCACGCUCGACGUGUAACCGAGAGGUCUGUGGUUCAAAUCCCGGUGAAGGCA